rnacentral:rRNA from 1 species
UUAAAGGAAGUUGACGGGGGCCCGCACAAGCGGUGGAGCAUGUGGUUUAAUUCGAUGAUACGCGAGGAACCUUACCUGGGCUCAAAUGUAUGUUGACGUAUUCUGAAAGGGAUACUUCUUCGGACAAUAUACAAGGUGCUGCAUGGUUGUCGUCAGCUCGUGCCGUGAGGUGUCGGGUUAAGUCCCAUAACGAGCGCAACCCCUAUCAUUAGUUGCCAUCAGGUCAAGCUGGGGACUCUAAUGAAACUGCCUACGCAAGUAGUGAGGAAGGCGGGGAUGACGUCAAAUCAGCACGGCCCUUACGUCCAGGGCUACACACGUGCUACAAUGGCCGGCACAGCGGGAAGCGAGGCAGUGAUGCCGAGCGGAUCCCUUAAAGCCGGUCUCAGUUCGGAUUGAAGUCUGCAACUCGACUUCAUGAAGCUGGAAUCGCUAGUAAUCGCAGAUCAGCCAAGCUGCGGUGAAUACGUUCCCGGGCCUU